AGUGAACGCUGGCGGUAGGCCUAACACAUGCAAGUCGAACGGCAGCACAGUAAGAGCUUGCUCUUACGGGUGGCGAGUGGCGGACGGGUGAGGAAUACAUCGGAAUCUACUUUUUCGUGGGGGAUAACGUAGGGAAACUUACGCUAAUACCGCAUACGACCUACGGGUGAAAGCAGGGGAUCUUCGGACCUUGCGCGAUUGAAUGAGCCGAUGUCGGAUUAGCUAGUUGGCGGGGUAAAGGCCCACCAAGGCGACGAUCCGUAGCUGGUGUGAGAGGAUGGUCGGCGACACUGGAACUGGGACACGGACCAGACUCCUACGGGAGGCAGCAGUGGGGAAUAUUGGACAAUGGGCGCAAGCCUGAUCCAGCCAUAGCGCGUGGGUGAAGAAGGCCUUCGGGUUGUAAAGCCCUUUUGUUGGGAAAGAAAAGCAGCAGGUUAAUACCCCGCUGUUCUGACGGUACCCAAAGAAUAAGCACCGGCUAACUUCGUG
rnacentral:rRNA from 1 species